AUGGCCUGCUACCCUUGCAACCCGCUCCCCCACCUUCCUCCUGGUACGACGAUCAUCCCCGGCCCUCUCCGUGCUCGCCGUGGAUAUGUGGUUCUUAGAGGUGACCUCCCGAUGGUCUGCGAUGAGUGGGCAAUCACCACGCUCGUACCCGAGGUAUCAGCUGAGGAGUUCCAUGGUGCCAUUGCUCUAAUCACGAACUACCUGGAGGGACGUGGAUGGCGCAUCAACUACACUUCCCGCUGUGGUAUGGGUACUGCUUUGGUUCAGUUUACUAUUGCCUGUUCGCGUGAUACUGCUGUCAGUCUGAGCUCGUUCCAGAUUGGGGACUCUAUUCUUAGGAUUACCAAACAGGAUAGAGGUCUUAAUUACCGCAACAUUACUUUCACACAUGAUGUUUGAAUCCUACUUAUGAAUUAUCCAUUAGAAUGCUAGGAUGUUGGGGUGAUUAGCCGCACUGUUUCACCAUAUGGUCGCUUUUUGAUCUGGAACAAAGACCCAAGGGACAAAGCAAGGGUUAUUGUUAAACUCAGGGUCAUGAAUGUUGACAAUAUUCUUGCUAGUCUAGUUGUACUGAGGAAUCUUGAUGAUGUUGGAUAUGGCGACUCAUGGACUUGCCCAUAUUCUGUCGAGGGACCUGAUUGGUCAGCAAGGGGGUGA
rnacentral:rRNA from 1 species